UGGGAGUACACGUGACCAGGCUACCAAUGAAGGCCAAAUCCGUGCCAAUCACAGCGACUCCCAGCACAGAAUGUAUCCACUCCAGCCAGGGAUGAGACCACCAUGACCAGACUUGCGUUUCCUCCCCCAAGGAUAUAGAUAUGGCUCCGAGGAUGUGGCCCAGACCUUCAACAUUCACCCCCCCCAAAAGAAGAAUGGUCCCCUUAACCUGGUAGCUGCAGGGACCAUGAUAUCAGCAAACGUAAGAGGCUGAGUAUGACAACCUGGCAAUGUUUGAGUCCAGUCACGCAGAUGAGGUGAGGCCCAGGCAGCGUAAGGCCACAACAGACACCCCCUAACAUGGCCCCUCCUGCUUGUUGGUUUGGCCUUCAUGUGGACUCUCAGGGCUCCGUCACUGCUCCACAAUACAGUCGUUCCACAAAUAGUAGUUUCCAAUAGUUCGGUUUUGGUUUUAUGUGGAAUUUUAUAGAUUAUUUUAGGAUUUUAAAAUUUCCCGACAAGCAGGAAAUUUAAAAAUCCCUUAAAAUAUCUUCCAUGACAAUCCGUAUAAAACAGAAACCGUACUAUUUGAGGGGUGACUGUACCUCUCUAUGCGCUCCACUGUCAGGUUGUCCAUGCACCCCCCUCCUGCAGGCUACAGAUAGAGGCGUCCACCCUGUCAGACCUUGCACGGGACACAGAAGAAGCAAGGAAGGAAGGAAGGAAAAGAAAGAAAAAUUGAGGUAGAAGAAAUGAAGGAAUAGGGGUUACUUAAGAGGUUACUAAGCCUAUGAUGUGCAGGAGAAGGGUCAUAUUAAUUUUCAAGCACUGAUAAUGUUUUUGAAAUGUAUGCUGUCAGGUAGUGAAAAGUGCAAACCAGUCACCCGGUCAGUCAAGGGAAACACAUCCAUGCCCACAUUUAUAACUUCCCGGCACUUUUCCUUAAUAUUCUUCCAGCGUACGCCAUCACCCACUCAGUCGAAGGCAACACACUCACCCACACACACAUCCAUAUCACCUUCCCAGCACUGUUCCUAAGUAUUCAUAAACGUCACCAGUUCAGUCAGUCAGUCAGUCAGUAACACAUCCGCGCCCACCAAGUCUGUUCCGUCACGCUAACACAGGCGGCAGGGUGGACAUGUCUGGGGUGUUGUUGUGGUCUGUGGGAGUGACGCUCGACUCAAGACAGAGACUCGCUGCGUUGAGUUUGGCUCAAGGUUUUGCAGUCCAGAUAUAUGUAUUGAUAGGGUUGAGGGUGGGUGGGAGGGAGGGUGGGAGGGAGGGAUUGAAGGAAGGGAGAGAAGAAAGGAAAGAUUGAAGGAACAGGGGAAGGGAGAGAGAAAAGGCAAGGAAGGGAAGAAUAGGGAAAGACAAAAACAAAGGAAUGAAAGAAGGGAAAAGAAAGAAAAAUUGAGGAAGAAGAAAUGAAGGAAUAGGGAAGGGAGUGAGAAAAGAAGAAAGGAAGGAAUGAAGGAACAGGGGAAGGGAGAGAAAAAGCAAGAAAGGAAAGAAGUAAAGAAAAAUAGAGGAAGAAGAAAGAAGGAAAUAGGGAAGGGAGUCAGAAAAUCAAAUAAAGAAAAGAAACACGUAGAAACAAUUAAGUCCAGGAAAAUGAAAAUAAAGAUCAGGAUAAAGGAAAUAGAGGAAAACAGAAAGAAACAUUAAAAAAGAAUUAAAAAACGAAACAUAUACAAAAACGGCAAAGAGAGAACGACUUCCAUACACUCCAAGGUGGACCAAUUCGUGUGUGCGUGUGUGUCAGCUGGGGACCAUGUGUGUGCGCGUGUGUGUACGUCUAUAAAGGGCGGACCAGUACGUACAUGUGCCGGUAAAUCACAAGAACACAGUCGGUCUUUUUUUUUAUUUUAUUUUAUUUAUUUUUUUAUUUUUUUUACGUCAAGAGCGGAAAAAAAAUGUGUGUACGCUUCCGCAUUAUUGAUUUUCACAGUCACGGCAUUACGUACAUCAAGGGCUAAGCGCAUGUAUUUAAAUGUACCAUCGCCUCGGUUCGCCUGCCUGAAAACCCUCUCGUAGAAGUUGCCAGGCUUUCCACGGACUGUUUCGUGAUCCCAGUGAUGGUUUUACAUAAGUUCUUUGCCAUGAACAGAAAAGAAACAGCAGAAGAGUUAAGAAAGAUGAAGGUAACUUUUGAUGUUUUAGUGGAGACGGUGAAGGUAGAUUUUGAUUGUUAGCGAAGAAAAUAGAGAAGAGAAAAGAGUUAUGGACGAUGAGAGUAAAAGUUGACGUUUUAAUGGAAAGGAGAGAAGCAAAUGAACGUAAAUUUUAAACUUUGCCUCGUUAAUAGGAGAGAGAAAAUCUGCAUCGAGUCUAAAAACUAAGCAACCGAAACCUGUGAACAAGGAAAAAAACGGACUUUAUUUAGUUAUAAAAAGUUAUAAAAAGAAAAGAAAACGAGAAAAUGUUACCGGGGGAAAAAAUUAAUAAAAGAAAAGAAAAUGAGAAAAUGUUAACGGGGGAAAAAAAUUAUAAAAAGAAAAGAAAAUGAGAAACUGUGAUUGGGGGAAAAAAUCAUAAAAAGAAAAGAAAACGAGAUGCUAAUGGGGG